UUUCAGCCUAAGAGUAGCAAUCAAUAACACACUGAAAUCUCAGCAGUGUACAAAAUAAAACCAUGAGAUCACUACAUCAUAUUAUUACUUAAAAAAACCUAACGUAUUUCCCUUCUAUUUGUUGCUAUCCGCCGUCGCACAAAUCAAAACUCAUCCAGUUGUCGCCCAGCCAUAAAAACUCAUUUAUGGGGCUAUCGUUACCUGCUUCAAAAGAAAACAUGUAAUGGAGGUGACUCUGCAGAAGAUAGAGCCUUUCUUAUGCUUUCCUCUCUCUCUCUCUCUCUCUCUCUCUCUCUCUCUCUGUGGCUGUGGCUCAUGGUGACUAGAAGGUAUUGGGGAAGAAUAUUACAACUCCAUCAUUUCCUUGUUGAUGAUGACGAUGAUGGUAGUGAAGAAGCAUAUGACUAUUUGGACCACAGAGAGAGAGAGAAAGGGUACAUGUCCCCUUUGACGGGCAUUGUUGCGCAUGCUUGCCGAUUGCUGAUGAGAGAGAUAGCGAAAGAGAGAGAAAGAGAACACUCACCCCCUUUAUCUUUCACACACGCUUCUUGUCCUCUAGCUGUGAUGGUUCUCUUGAAAUUUUAAGGGUCUCUCUGUGAGAAAGAGACUAGGGUGGGAAAGAGAUCCGGCUUCAAUUCAAUGCGGUGAGGACCCAUUGUGAGUCUAAUGAGUGGACUACGCAGCAGAAGCACAUUGAUGGCUGAUUUCAACCUGUUAAUGGAUGUACUGGUUAGAAGUUAUUGUCGUGUACAUUACUUGUGAGAAAAUUUUAUAAUUUUUCAAUAAAUUUUACUUUGGUCAAA